UACGUAGGGUGCAAGCGUUGUCCGGAAUUAUUGGGCGUAAAGAGCUCGUAGGCGGGUUGGCGCGUCUGCUGUGAAAACCCGAGGCUCAACCUCGGGCCUGCAGUGGGUACGGGCAAACUAGAGUGCGGUAGGGGAGAUUGGAAUUCCUGGUGUAGCGGUGGAAUGCGCAGAUAUCAGGAGGAACACCGAUGGCGAAGGCAGAUCUCUGGGCCGUAACUGACGCUGAGGAGCGAAAGCAUGGGGAGCGAACAGG
rnacentral:rRNA from 1 species